rnacentral:rRNA from 1 species
UACGUAGGGGGCUAGCGUUGUCCGGAAUUAUUGGGCGUAAAGAGCGUGUAGGCGGCCAGGUAGGUCUGCUGUGAAAACUCGAGGCUCAACCUCGAGACGUCGGCGGAAACCAUCUGGCUAGAGUCCGGAAGAGGAGAGUGGAAUUCCUGGUGUAGCGGUGAAAUGCGCAGAUAUCAGGAAGAACACCCGUGGCGAAGGCGGCUCUCUGGGACGGUACUGACGCUGAGACGCGAAAAGCGUGGGGAGCGAACAGG